UACGUGGGCAGCAAGCGUUGUUCGGAAUUACUGGGCGUAAAGAGUGUGUAGGCGGUGUUCUAAGUUUGUCGUGAAAUCUCCCGGCUUAACUGGGAGGGUGCGGCGAAAACUGGAAUGCUAGAGGAUGGGAGAGGUAAGCGGAAUUCCUGGUGUAGCGGUGAAAUGCGUAGAUAUCAGGAGGAACACCUGUGGUGUAGACAGCUUACUGGACCAUUUCUGACGCUGAGACACGAAAGCGUGGGUAGCAAACAGG
rnacentral:rRNA from 1 species